GGAAGAUCAUCGUCCCCGGUGGGGCGGCCGGAUUUCAAAUCCGGUUGGGGCCGCCAGCGGUCCCGGGCAGGUUCGACUCCUGUGAUCUUCCGCCA
rnacentral:tRNA from 4 species